rnacentral:rRNA from 1 species
CACGUAGGGCGCGAGCGUUGUCCGGAAUUAUUGGGCGUAAAGAGCUCGUAGGCGGCCUGUUGCGUCCGCUGUGAAAGCCCGGGGCUUAACCCCGGGUCGGCAGUGGAUACGGGCAGGCUAGAGGUAGGUAGGGGAGAAUGGAAUUCCCGGUGUAGCGGUGAAAUGCGCAGAUAUCGGGAGGAACACCGGUGGCGAAGGCGGUCUCUGGGCC